GAUAACUGUGUGCUUCCAACAAGUUAACAAAUCAAAAAACAACUCACAAUACUAUAAUUCAUCACUAAAAUAAUAAACUUUGACUAGAAUUACUUGCAUCUUGUUAUCUGUUACCAUCUCAAAGAAAAGAAAAGGAAUUACUUGCAUCUUGUUAAUCGCUACGACAUGACUAUUAAAUAAACACGUCCCAGGGUUUAUUCGCCUCGCUCUGAUAAAAUGGAUGCCUGCCCGAGACUUGCAUUUUAGCACGUAAAUAUCAGCAUGGGAAACGAAGUAAAGUGCAAGCUAACUAGAAUGAUGGCUUGCUUCUUUUUCUUUGUUAUGGAUUUGGGGUGUUGAUUGCUAUGUAUAACACCAAUCUUCGCCGAUUGAUCAGGUUUUCAUCAUUGGACCCCUGAAGCAGGUAAGGAAAGCAGAAGCAAUGUUGAGGGGCAGGAUGUUGUGAGAUACUUUUGACCCUUCUGCUGCACCUGGAAUCCAAAGUUUUGCAUUCUUAUUACUCGAUUGUCACGCUAAACAAACUUGAGUGAGACAUAUCUCACUUCUUUUGCUAAUAGAUGAACCCUGAGCUGACAUACCAAUUCAUCUCACAUUGGACGGGGUGCUAAAUGAAUGCAUAUGUUUGAAGUUAAAUUCGUAUUGCUUUAUUAAGCGCGAAUGAAACUGAGUUUGAUUCCGUACUUUCACUUUGCAACUUGCACUAAAUAGAAUCUCUUGCAUGCACGUAUUAUAAAGAAAAAGACCAUUGCUGGUCUUAUUCUUUGAUAGCAGAGUAAAGAGUUUUAGACUUGGUUUAUGCAUGCAACAACAAUAACAACAGACCUAGUGUAAUUCCACAAGUGAAGUCUAGGAAGGUUAGUGUGUAUGUAAAUCUUACCCUACCUUGUGAAGAUAUAGGCUGUUUCCAAAGACCCUCGAUACUUGGUUUAUGCAUGCAGUUGAAUGUAUUUUAGUGCACUAAUGCCUCUCUUUCUGGAGUCGUAAGAAUAUUUUGACGAUGAUGGUUAGAAUUUUAGCAUUGACAAGGUAUGCAUUGUUUUAUUAGUCAAAUGUGAACUUGGUUGGUGGAGAGGUCAUUGUCAUGCCCUAGGAGUGGCCAGCUUGGGAAUUUUACGAAUACUACUGGAACAGAAA
rnacentral:lncRNA from 1 species